AGCAGUCGCCACGGUAAUGCGUAGGUGGCAAGCGUUGUCCGGAAUUAUUGGGCGUAAAGGGCUCGCAGGCGGUUUCUUAAGUCUGAUGUGAAAGCCCCCGGCUCAACCGGGGAGGGUCAUUGGAAACUGGGAAACUUGAGUGCAGAAGAGGAGAGUGGAAUUCCACGUGUAGCGGUGAAAUGCGUAGAGAUGUGGAGGAACACCAGUGGCGAAGGCGACUCUCUGGUCUGUAACUGACGCUGAGGAGCGAAAGCGUGGGGAGCGAACAGGAUUAGAUACCCGAGUAGUCCCUGUCUCUUAUAC
rnacentral:rRNA from 1 species